rnacentral:rRNA from 1 species
CCUACGGGAGGCUGCAGUGGGGAAUAUUGCGCAAUGGCGACAGCCUGACUCAGCGACGCCGCGUGAGGGAUGAAGGUCUUCGGAUCGUAAACCUCUGUCAGCAGGGAAGAACGGUCACUGUGCUAAUCAGCAGUGAAUUGACGGUACCUGCAAAGGGAGCACCGGCUAACUCCGUGCCAGCAGCCGCGGUAAUACGGAGGGUGCGAGCGUUAAUCGGAAUUACUGGGCGUAAAGCGCACGUAGGCGGUAUGUCAAGUCAAGGGUGAAAUCCCCGCGCUCAACGUGGGAACUGCCUUUGAAACUGGCAAGCUGGAGUGUGUGAGAGGAGAGUGGAAUUCCAGGUGUAGGAGUGAAAUCCGUAGAUAUCUGGAGGAAUACCAGUGGCGAAGGCGACUAUCUGGCACAUAACUGACGCUGAGGAGCGAAAGCGUGGGUAGCAAACAGGAUUAGAUACCCGUGUAGUC